rnacentral:ribozyme from 1 species
UCAAAUAUACCCCACUCUUAUGGGGUUGAAUCCGAAGCCUCUUGAAGAUCACACUAGCUCUCCGAAUCUACUCCUAUUCCGUAACGUCCUCGUCGUGCUAAGUGGUAAGUUGUAUCAUCGUAUAUCCAAACUAGGGUACAUAUGAUAGAUCUAACCCAUUGGUAGUGCGAAAAGCAGGUAUCAGGGCAGA